rnacentral:rRNA from 1 species
UACGUAGGGUGCGAGCGUUGUCCGGAAUUAUUGGGCGUAAAGAGCUCGUAGGCGGUGUGUCACGUCGGCCGUGAAAACCUUCAGCUUAACUGUGGGCGUGCGGUCGAUACGGGCAUCACUGGAGUUCGGCAGGGGAGACUGGAAUUCCUGGUGUAGCGGUGAAAUGCGCAGAUAUCAGGAGGAACACCGGUGGCGAAGGCGGGUCUCUGGGCCUUACCUGACGCUGAGGAGCGAAAGCGUGGGGAGCGAACAGG